CCGUGAGACAAAGAAGGACGAAGGCUAACUAUUUCCAGAAUCCCGAUUUUAAAGCAAUUUGGUGCGCCAUCCAUUUAUCACAUAUAAGUAGAUUGAAAGAGUGAAAUACGAAGCACGUUUUUGUAUAACGAUUUCCAACCUACAUGAUUAAUUUCAGACCAUUUUACGGUUUUAGCGUUGUGUCAAAUGCAUACAUUUCUCGUGCAGGUUGGCUGUUAUAAAGUUUCCAAACUGACCAAAGACCAACGAAUGACUUCUGAAGAAGGGUGGAUUUAUCUGUAGCCUAGUUAAACAAUAAUUUGUCCCGUCAGUGUCAUGGUUUGAAUGCUGCCUGAACGUUCCGUGAACGUUAUAGUUCUGUGUGGGCGAUAAUAGGGCAACCCAUUUUCCUUGGUUUUUUUUUUAUAGAAUAAACACAAUGAAGAAGUUUCAACAGAGGGCUUAUAAGCGUAGAUGGGCUGCCACAACUAGGCAUUUGAAGAAGCAAUGCCGACAGUCAACUUUAGAAUUAGAGAGUGAUGAUAGCGAGCAAGAGAAUGACACGACAAUCUUAUCAACUCCAGAAACAGUGACAACCCUUCAGUACAUGGAUGCUGCGGAGACUGCUUCCUGCACUGCCGCGGGUGCUGACAAUGCCACCUACAGUGGCCCUGAUAGUGAUGAGCCUGAUGAAAAUGAUGCUGAUUGGAGACUAAUUGACCAUCAUGUCACCUUGUCAUCUGAUUCAGAAAAUGAGAGUGAUAGUGACUGCUUUGAAGAUCAUUUGAGUUUGUUAGCAACCGAAUAUCAUGUCAAACAUAAUGCAUUGGACAGCCUUUUGAAGCUACUCAAGAAAGUUUUCCAGAUGGCUCCUUCUUUUGUGGUCGUUGAGUUCCUUGGUGAACGUUCAGUCGCUGUUGUCCCAACUAUAUGGACAGAAGAUCAUGGAAAGGUUAUUACUUUUUCUGAAAAAAUAGCUUCUGCUAUUGGCCAAGGCCAAAUCCUACCCACUCCAGAAUCCGGAAAGCUGAGAUUCCUGACAAAGAAGUCUGGGAUAGGCUGCCAAUUCGAGUUUUCAGGAAAACAUUGACUGCAUACUUUGAAAUUUUGCAGAAGACUUUGACAAGGCCCUUCAAUACGAAAAACAAGCUGAAAUGUUUUCGAGCCCAGAAGAAGUGUCAACCAAACGGAGCCACAUCACCCCUGAACGUUAUAGAAACGAUGAGGAAGAUGUGUUUGAUGCUGACGACGAAGAGGAAAUUCGGCCAAAAAAGAAGUGCAGAAAAGAGAAACCACAGAUCCUCGUCCAGGCACCCCCACUGCCAGAGCUCCCACCAUUUAACUUUCCAAUCUCCAGCGAGUACCAGACCACUUCAGCCAGUACCAGCCAAUACCAGACCACUCCAAGGCAUCCAGGCCGACCUCACAGCCCAGCGAGAAGCAGCACUUCCAGGCUCAGUCCAGACAGGAAUAAUGCAUCCAGCUCAAGCAAGUACCAGACCACUCCAGCCAGUACGAGUCAGUACCAGACCGCUCCAAGAAGCAGCAGGAAUGCCCUUGACAGUGAACGUUAGUUGAUAGGUGGUGUUAAACAGGCUGUUACAACGGGCAGUAAUACGAAUUACCUCUUUGACUUUUGUUGUCUUUGCAGUUUUCCAAUUGAACAUGAAAGUUCAAAAUAUACUUGAGAACCAGGGAGAAAUUAUGCGCAUGCUGAGAGGGCUGGCAGCACAGUCUGUGGGGCCAGAAUCUGUGGAUGUUCAAGAUCUCAUUGAUAAGCCUUUCGAGACUCUUGAGCAGCUGAAGGCCUUCUGUGAACGGCUCGACACUGAUCUUCUGCUCAGAAAGCAGCUGGGAAUUAGUUUUAAUUCCCCACUGCAAAAAUAUCUUGCUCAGUUAUCAAAAAACAAUUUAUAAUCAAGUACAAUAUUGUUGUUUAUUUAUUUGUAUAGGUGAAAGCUCUUACUGCUCUUGGUGGGCAGAAUUUGGCAGACACGGUGAGGACAAUGCUGAGGAAAAUUGCCACAAACAAAGUCCUGGAGCAGCUUGGCCUCCGUGGAAAGUCAGGAAAAGUGGCGUUUGAGGACUUGCCCCUUUACAGAAUAAUAAAUAAGGCAUGCAGGGGUGUUUACAAGCAGACGACCACAGCUGAAGUGGAUUGUGAGCUUGGAGAGGUCCUGAAACUGGCCACUUUUCGAAAGGGAGGUUCAAAAUUUGAGGAGAAGAGGAGGAAUUAAGAGGGAGGACAAAAAAGGAAAAAGAAACAAGCAAAAGAACAGAGUGAGAUGAGAGGAUUUGGGUUUCCCUGCUUGGGCUGCUGCCCCCGCGACCCGACCUCGGAUAAGCGGAAGAAUAUGGAUGGAUUUACUUCCAGGAAGAGAACCAAGAAGGGCCAGGAUACCCUGACGCGCAUGACCAAGCCCACUGCAUUCCAUUCCAUUUGUAUUAUAGUUAUCACUAAUAAAGAAUUAUUUCUGUUGAAAUCACUAUCACUAAUAAAGAAUU